CUCCUUUUACCAAUAGUAAUAAUAAUAAUAAGAAAACCACUAAGACAAAGUGGAACCCAGGGAAGCUGUCUGCAGGGCUUGUGGGUGUAAUCCCGGUUUCCUGCCCGAGCAGUGGGCUUCUGGGAUGGAGACUCCCCUGUGUCCCAAACAUGCACUGCUCAAGAGAGGAUUAGGUUUCCUUUAGCUGACACAAAGGGCUCCGUCCCAAUGACAACUGAGAGGAGACUAUUUCGGUGGGUAAAGGGAAAUUCAGCACAUCCUUUGUGGAAUAAAUUACUUACCACGCAGAGGGGACUUAGGAGGACAUACAAGCGUCACAUUUGUUUCAAAAUAUUUAAUGAGUGACGUUCCCAUCGUGGCUCAGCAGAAACGAGCCUGACUAGGAACCAUGAGGAUGUGGGUUCGAUCCCUGGCCUCACUCAGUGGGUUAAGGAUCCCUUGUUGCCAUGAGCUGUGGUGUAGAUUGCAGAUGCAGCUUGGAUCUGGCACUGCUGUGGCUGUGGCCUAGGCCAGCAGCUGCAGCUCCAAUUUGACCCCUAGCCUGGGAACUUCCGUAUGCCAAGGGUGUGGCCCUAAAAAAAAAUUUAAAAAAUAAGCAAAAAUAAAUAAAUAAGUAAAAUACUUAUGAAACAUCCCUGAUGGGCUAGAUUCCAUAUUAUCAACUAUGGAGAGACAAAGGAGAAUAAACUACAUUUCUGUUUUUUAGAAGUUAACGGUACAGGAAGGGGAGGUAAAAUAGGCUUGUGAACAGACACAGCCGGUACUGAGCAAGAUGAAACAUAUCAAAUAAAAUCAGUAGGUGCCAAAUGAACGUAGAGACCCUGGGAAGAGGUGACAAUUGAGGUUUGGUGUGGGAUGAAAAGGAGAGGGUGUUACUUGCAGAAGCUGGCGGACGGCCAUGCACGCGUGCUGGAGGAAGAGCUAAGGCACGAAAGGACCUGGCUUUGUGUCGGAGGUGAGCGGAGGAGAAGGAGGGAGAUGAAGUAGGUGGAGAGCCUUGGUUUAGCUUGUGGCAACUCAGGGAAGUCAGGUAAACGAUUUGGCCUUUGACCUUCAGGCCAGGGCUUCUCAUCUGAAGAUAAUAUAUUUUCCCCACUCAAGGAUGAGUUUCAGCAACAUCUGUAGACAAUGUGAGUUGUUACAGCAGAGGAGGUACCAUUGGCAUCCAGUGGGUAAGGCUAAGGAGGCUGGUAAACAUCCACAUAUAUGUAUACCCUUCAGUGGCGUAAUAGUCCAUUGGCAGCAAAGCUAUUCAUAUCUUUAGAUUUUCUAUCUACCUAUCCUCUAUCUAUCAUCUAUUAUCUAUCAUCUGUUAUCUAUCUACCUAUCAUCUAUCAUCUAUCUAUCUAUCUAUCUACUGUCUAUCCUCUAUCUAUCUGUCUGUCUGUCUAUCUAUCUAUCUAGCAUCUAUUAUCUAUCCUCUACCUAUCAUCUAUCUGUCUAUCUAUCUAUCUGUCUAUCUAUCUAUCUACUGUCUAUCCUCUAUCUGUCUAUCUAUCUAUCUAUCUAUCUAUCUGUCUGUCUGUCUGUCUGUCUAUCUUCUGUCUGUCUGUCUAUCUAUCUAGCAUCUAUUAUCUAUCCUCUAUCUAUCAUCUAUCAUCUAUCCUCUAUCUAUCAUCUAUUAUCUAUCAUCUGUUAUCUAUCUACCUAUCAUCUAUCAUCUAUCUAUCCUCUAUCUAUCAUCUAUUAUCUAUUAUCUGUUAUCUAUCAUCCAUCUAUCUAUCAUCUUCUGUCUAUCCUCUGUCUAUCCUCUAUCUGUCUAUCUAUCUAUCUAUCUAUCUAUCUGUCUAUCUAUCUAUCUAGCAUCUAUUAUCUAUCCUCUAUCAUCUAUCCUCUAUCAUUUAUCUAUCUAUCUAUCUAUCUAUCUAUCUACUGUCUAUCCUCUGUCUAUCCUCUAUCUAUCUAUCUAUCUGUCUGUCUGUCUGUCUAUCUAUCCUCUAUCUAUCAUCUAUCAUCUAUCUAUCCUCUAUCAUCUAUUAUCUAUCAUCUGUUAUCUAUCAUCCAUCUAUCUAUCAUCUUCUGUCUAUCCUCUAUCCUCUGUCUAUCUGUCUAUCUAUCUGUCUGUCUGUCUGUCUAUCUUCUGUCUGUCUGUCUAUCUAUCCUCUAUCUAUCCUCUAUCAUCUAUCCUCUAUCAUUUAUCUAUCUAUCUAUCUAUCUUCUGUCUCAUCUAUUAUCUAUCCUCUAUCAUUUAUCUAUCUAUCUAUCUAUCUGUUUAUCUAUCUAUCUAGCAUCUAUUAUCUAUCCGCUAUCUAUCCUCUAUCAUCUAUUAUCUAUCAUCUGUUAUCUAUCAUCCAUCUAUCUAUCUAUCAUCUUCUGUCUAUCCUCUAUCCUCUAUCUGUCUAUCUGUCUAUCUAUCUGUCUGUCUGUCUGUCUAUCUAUCUAGCAUCUAUUAUCUAUCCUCUAUCUAUCCUCUAUCAUCUAUCUAUCUAUCUAUCUAUCUAUCUUCUGUCUGUCUGUCUGUCUGUCUAUCUAUCUAUCUAGCAUCUAUUAUCUAUCCUCUAUCUAUCAUCUAUCCUCUAUCAUCUAUCUAUCUAUCUAUCUAUCUAUCUAUCUAUCUAUCUAUCUUCUGUCUGUCUGUCUGUCUGUCUGUCUAUCCUUCAUGGUAGGUCUCCGGGACAGGGAAUGUGUCCACAGGAACUCACAUCUUCCUCUGAGACUUGUCUUAAUGUCUGUGAAUUAGAAGUGGGCUUUCCUGGCACACCAUGUACUGUAUAACACCUCGUAUUGCUGGCUGUUACUUCACAGUGAGUCGUAGCUCACUGUGGAAGCCAGCUUGUGGUCCCUUCGCCCGAGGAAAUAAAUAUGCAGAAAAGAUAAGAGGUUGGUAGAGGGAUUCCCGUUUCUCCAGGUGUGGGAAGAGCAUUCUCAUCCUAGAGCACAAAGUGCUCUCCAGUGUCUCAUUCAUUGAGAAUGAAUAAAUUCAACUCUAUUUUCAUUAUUACGCCUUUUGUGGUAUCAAGGUCCAACAAAACAAUUCCCUUGAAGUGUCCAAGAAGUGUGGAGACACAAAUAGCAGAUCAUGAAUUACGAUCCCCUGCAGGGAGCAAAAGUAAGUUUUGACUUAAAAGGAAGAGACAAGUGAAAUGAAGGAAUUGGAAACUUUUCCGUUGGAACAUUACUCUAAAUUAUAGGUGCCAAGGAUUAGUUUGUGCUUCAAUGUUGUAUAACAUUUCAUGUGUAUGUAAACAGACAUUUAUACACAAACACACACAAAUAUGUAUUAUUGCACAAUAGCAAUUUACCCAGACUUCUGCUUUUGCUUGCAUUGCAUGCCAACCCAAGCCCAUGUCUUGCAGAAGCCAACACGGAUGAUUUUAAAAAUGAAAUAUUCAACAAAAGAAUCGUUUUUCUCUUUUUUCUUUUUCUUUUUCUUUUUGGUGGGGAGUUUGGGGAAGUAUGUGAAUGAUAAUGUCAAACAAUCAACUGAUUUAUUCCUAAUAUAUUUUCAGUGGCACAGAGUCAAGUCAAAUGAGUAUAAUGAAAAUUGAAAAUUCAACAAAAUAAUUUUGAGCUUAACUUUGCCAGGAGAGGGGCCCACGUUGUGAAAAGACCACUGACCUCACUCGUGUUUAAACGUACUUCGCAUCAAAGGCUAUGCGUUCACUGAAACAUCAGGGUAAUCGGCCUUGAUGAUGGUUCCUGGGCAGCCAAAAAAAAUUUUCAAGACAUUUUUCAAGACGUUUUUCACUUUUAUGUACCUCUAGCUGAGUAGGCCAAAAAAAGCAGGACAUACCGUGAGGCCAGACUCAACAGUAUUCUGGGUAUGAGAGUAACUAUCAGAAGCUGAUCAAUGGAAGGUGAGUUCUUCAGUAAAGACUGAAUUAAAAUUAAGCUGCAAUGAACACUCAUUCAGUUACAAUCAAGGGGAUGUUGCUAGAAUUGUUUGCCGUUCUAGCCUCACAAACACACGUCUGUAAAACUAUAUAACUAUCGAACAAGGGUAUUUAAUAAUAUUUCCUAUACAGUAACAAAAGUAAACCCAAUAGCACAAAACUGGCUUUAGAAUACAGGCAGGAAUUCCUGUUGUGGCUCAGCAGAAACAAACCCGACUGGUGUCCAUGAGGAUUUGCAGGUUUGAACCCUGGCCUGGCUCAGUGGGUUAAGGAUCUGGUGUUGCCCUGAGCCGUGGAAGGGAAGAUGUGGCUUGGCUCUGGCAUUGCUGCGGCUCUGGUGUAGGCUGGCAGCUACGGCUCUGAUUCAGCCUCCAGCCUGGGAACUUCCAUUUGCGCAUGUGUGGCCGUGAAAAGAAAAAAAAGUAAUAAAAUAAAAUACAGUCAGCAAACAGCCUAUAACAGAGAAGAACAAACCUGACUCCAUAUUGGAUCUAUUCCUUUAGCUCUAACCCUUGUGCUCUGUUGCCUAUGCUUAGUUAGGCAGGCUCUGUCCUUUUUGUAAAAGAAUGUUGCCUAAAGCCUGAAUUAUACAGGAUAGCCCAUUCUCAAGGCUCUGACAUUUAAAAGUGUAACACUUUUCCGUUCCUAUAGAGAUAAAAACUGCAGAACAGAGAAUAAUCUUUGUCUUUUGGGAGGUUUACAGGAAACGCACACCUGCAAGAACAAAGGAUUCCAGCACCAAGAAAUGUGCAAUAACCACCCACACUCCCUCCUCUUUUGGUAUAGAACUCUGACUUCUCACUGGGUAGGAUGAUUCUUCGGGACACUAGUCCCCCACCUUCUCCAUCUGCUGGUCUUCCAGAAAAAGUCUCUUUCCCUUGGCCCCAAACUUGGUUUCUCAAUUUAGUGGCCUGUUGUGUGACAGGCAAUAGGAGCUUGGUCUUGGUAACAAACUACGUGUUUAUAUCUUACUUGGAAGACAGCAGAAAAAGGGUUUAGAAAGACUGCUCUACAAAAAAAAAAAAAAAAAAAAAAAAAA
rnacentral:lncRNA from 1 species